rnacentral:rRNA from 1 species
AGCAUAUCAUAGCGGAGGAAAAGAAACCCAUCAGGGAUUGCCCUAGUAACGGCGAGUGAAGCGGCAACAGCUCAAAUUUGAAAUCUGGCUCUUUCAGAGUCCGAGUUGUAAUUUGCAGAGGGCGCUUUGGCUUUGGCAGCGGUCCAAGUUCCUUGGAACAGGACGUCACAGAGGGUGAGAAUCCCGUACGUGGUCGCUAGCUAUUGCCGUGUAAAGCCCCUUCGACGAGUCGAGUUGUUUGGGAAUGCAGCUCUAAAUGGGAGGUAAAUUUCUUCUAAAGCUAAAUAUUGGCCAGAGACCGAUAGCGCACAAGUAGAGUGAUCGAAAGAUGAAAAGCACUUUGGAAAGAGAGUCAAACAGCACGUGAAAUUGUUGAAAGGGAAGCGCUUGCAGCCAGACUUGCUUGCAGUUGCUCAUCCGGGCUUUUGCCCGGUGCACUCUUCUGCAGGCAGGCCAGCAUCAGUUUGGGCGGUGGGAUAAAGGUCUCUGUCAUGUACCUCUCUUCGGGGAGGCCUUAUAGGGGAGGCGACAUACCACCAGCCUAGACUGAGGUCCGCGCAUCUGCUAGGAUGCUGGCGUAAUGGCUGUAAGCGGCCCGUCUUGAAACACGGACCAAGGAGUCUAACAUCUAUGCGAGUGUUUGGGUGUCAAGCCCGAGCGCGUAAUGAAAGUGAACGGAGGUGGGAACCCGCAAGGGUGCACCAUCGACCGAUCCUGAAGUUUACGGAAGGAUUUGAGUAAGAGCAUGGCUGUUGGGACCCGAAAGAUGGUGAACUAUGCUUGAAUAGGGUGAAGCCAGAGGAAACUCUGGUGGAGGCUCGCAGCGGUUCUGACGUGCAAAUCGAUCGUCAAAUUUGGGCAUAGGG